rnacentral:lncRNA from 1 species
UCAUAGCCAUUAACGAGCCAAAAUACCGUUGGAUAAUCCGCUUUGAUCAUUUGCUACGCCUCCCGAGUUAGGAAUUCGAGAGCCGAUUCUGUUUGUCGGAUGGCUCAGAAAAUUCAAAUUAUUGAAAUGGGACAGAAAAUAAAAUAAAUGCUUUAAGGUUACGUGUAACACGCACGUCCUCAAGCACUUUAUAUCUUUUCGUAUAAACCUCCAACCUCCGAUUCUCUCAGCCAAAAUCACCGAUGGCCGCCGAUCGCCAACCGCCGCCGCCGACGGACACAACUACAACCACCAUCGAAUCGUCAUCAUCAGCUGGUCCGCCGCACGAAGCUCUGUUCCUCGUCCUGCCUUACCUGUACGUACUCGAGCUUCUCUCGAUCUCCAGCGUAUGCUCCCAGCUUCGCGCGGCGGUGG